ensembl:lncRNA
CAAUAAAGAAAAACAAACAAACAAAAAGUUUAGCAAGCUUUUCCUACAUCUUCCACUAAGUUCAGUAAAUAAUUCAGAGAAAAUAAGUUCAAAGAAUAUCCUAAUUCUUCACUGAAUUCUUCUGACAGUCUGUUAACAAACAGAUAUCUGGGUGGUUGAAAUCAGGAUGAAAGCCUGCAAGAGCGAUCCCUCUUUGUUGCUGAAGAAGAAGGCUUUGUCCACAGACUCCCCUGCUCCGCCUGAUGAAGUAGCCUGUAGAAGACCCCAACCAGUGGACAUAAUUUGUUGAAGCAAGCAGGGAGAAGGAGAGUGGGAGACAUGGUGAGAAAGCAAAAGAUGAGUAAAGCUUCCCCCUUUACCAGCUAUAAUUCAUUGGAAGAGCUUGACUGUCCGAGUAAGUACAGUCUCAAGCAACUGAAUAUGUGUCCAGAGAAGAAUCGUAGGCACAGAGGGACUGGAUGCUAAUGAGACUAUCCCAGAGUUGAUGUGAAUUGUGAAUGAUGAAAUGAUGAAGAUUCUUGACUGAGUUCCUCUAGUGAUGAAAAGCAAAAUAACAAUAAUUUAAAAAACCCUUUACUUUCUGUGAUACAUAGGUAGAAGACCUGCUGUAGUAUAAUUUAUCUGGAAUCAAAUCUGAAAAGUUGUGUCUUAAAUUUUGAUAGCACAGUCUAAAGUUUACUCUGGAGUUGUACUUAAAAGGAGCAGCUGAGAAUCAUAUGAUGCAGCUGGAGAAAAUCAGGGAGUUUGAUUGUUCAAUGAAAACAAAGAUUUGGAAUACUGUAGAAACAAUCUCUAAAUAGAUUUGGACAGAAAUUACACAAUUGAAGAAGAGAGAGAAGCAUGUGCUUCUUGCAGCAUACUGCUUGUUGCAUUAGGAUUUUGCUUUUUAAGAUGCUACUGAUUUGAGCUGUCUGCUGGAAUAGAAGCAUUAUGCAAAAUUACAAUCAGAAAAAAAAUCUCUUUCUUGGACUUGAAGUCAAGGUCAGCUACGUAUUUUCCAUAUGUUAAACUUCAUUUGAGGAAAUUCACAUGAAUAUAGUAUCAAUUCUAAAAACAGAAUGAUGGAAAAAUUUUGAAGACCAGUGACAUUCUCAGAAAAAAUGGGCUGUGCUUUGACGUGUCUUUCAGGGUUCAGACCUACUCAGUUGUGCCAUAAAUAAAAGUGAUGUGCAAAAUGCAACAAAAUAUUAGUUCUGUAGUGUUAUCUCAAUGAUGGAAUGAAUGAUUUAGGUAGUGUUAAUCAAAACAAUCAGUUUCACAUUGAUAGAAAUCUCAGUAUCAUCUCUAGCAUACUAUUCCUGCAAACAAGGUGUUCAUAUAGAACAAUUUAUUGAUGAGGGGAUUAAGUGCACCCUCAAUAAGUUUGCAGAUGACACCAAGUUGGGAGGGAGUGUUGAUCAUUGAUCUGCCUGAGGGGAGAAGGGCACUGCAGAGGGACCUGGAUAGACUGGAUUGAUGGACCAAGGUUAACUGUAUGAGUUUCAAUAGGGCCAAGUGUCAGGUCUUGCAUUUUGGUCACAACAACCCCAGGCAACCCUACAGGCUUGGGAAGGGGUGACUGGAAAGCUAUCUGAUAGAAAGGGACCUUGGUGUACUGAUGGACAGUUGUCUGAAUACGAGCCAGCAGUAUGCCCAGGUGGCUAAGAAGGCCAAUGGCAUCCUGGCUUGUGUCAGGAAUGGUGUGGUGAGCUGGACUAGGGAAGUAAUCCUGCUCCUGUACUUGGCAUUGGUGAGGCCUCACCUUGAGUACUGUGUUCAGUUUUGGGCACCUCAGUACAGAAACGACAUUGAGAUGCUGGAGCAGGUUCAAAGAAGGGCAACAAGGCUUGUGAAGGGCUUGGAGAAUCUGCCCUACGAGGAGAGACUGGAGGAACUAGGGCUGUUUAGUCUGGGGAAAAGGAGGCUGAGGGGAGACCUCAUUGGUCUCUUCCAAUAUCUAAAAGGUGCUUACAGCGAGAGCGGGAUUGGUCUCUUCUCACUGGUGACAGGUGACAGGAUGAGGAGAAAUGGCCUCAAGUUGUGCCAGGAUAAGUUUAGGUUGGAUAUCAGGAAACACUUCUUUACAGAAAGGGUUGUUAAGUACUGGAAUAGGCUCCUCAGGGAGGUGGUUGAGUCAUCAUCCCUGGAUGUAUUUAAAAACCAUUUGGAUGUGGUGCUCAGGGACAUGAUUUAGCAGAGGGUUGUUAGAGUUAGGGUAGUAUGGUUAGGUCAUGGUUGGACUUGAUGAUCAUAAAGGUCUUUUCCAGCCUGAGUGAUUCUAUGAUUCUAUGAUUCUAUAUCAACAUGGGUACGUGUAAUACCUGUAAGUCACCAGUGUGCCCUUGUGGCCAAGAAGGCCAAUGAUAUCUUAGUGUGCAUUAAAAAGAUUUUGGCUGGUAGAUUAAGGGAGGUUAUAUUCUUCUCCUGUACUCUGCCCUGUUGAGGCCACACCUGGAAAAUUGUAAUGCCUCCUAUUUAUUUCCGUGGAAACUACCAACAUACCAAGAGCACAAUAACACUCUUUGGUACAUGAAAUUUUUAGCUACAAAACACUAUUUUUCAACAUAGUUACCACUGUCAGCUAUGCAUUUUUGCCAGCAAUGAAAAAGCUGCACUCAUUAAAAUCGUCACCAACGGAGGUGACCUACUCUUUCACAAUUGCUGUGAUGAUGUCAUGCAGUCCAUCUUUCAUCCUCCUGACCAGAUGGAAGUCAGAAGUGCCAAAUCCAGAAUAUAUAGUGGGUGUACAACAGUACAGCCAAGGUUGGCAGAGUGCUCCACAGUCUUCAAACAGGUAUGGGGCAGGGCAUUUUCAUGUUUCAAGAGAAAGGUUAUCCUCUUCUUCUCUGAUCUGACUCUGGAAGUUCAAGCCUUCAGAUUACUCAGCAUUGUGGUGUAGUGGUCAGAUUAGAUGGCUUGUCCAGGCUCCAGGAAAUUCAGAAGGCUCAUCCUUUUCCUAUCCAAAAAGAGAGUGCACAUCACUUUACCUACUGAGGGCUGCAUCUUGAACUUUUUCUUUGAUGAGGAAUUCAUGUAUCACCAUACCAUGGAUUAUUGUUUUGACUCCACUUCAUAGUGGUGAUAUCACAUCUCAAUCAUCUGCAAUGAUGUGAUCCAUGAAUCCGCAACCUUCAGCCUUGUAUUUUUUUUGAUAGGUCCUGACAAACUUGGAUAUGAUGUUCUUUCUGUUACCAUGUGAACAUUCUUGGUUGGAACUGAAGCAAACUUUGCAGUAUUGCAUCAUUGCCUCCAUUGUUUCCAAUGCACUGAAGGCAAUAUUCAGCUCUGUACACAGUUCCCUGGUCAUAAUUUGCCAAUUUGUAUGGAUGACCUGAUUGAGACAGUCUUUAUUGUGUGGUGUGACAGCUGUACAUGGCUGUCUGGAACAUGGCUUGUCUUUCAUGUCACUGCCACCACUGCUGAAAAGCAUGUGCCACUCAUCACCUCAUUGUGCUCACAUCCACUCUUUGAUCUCCAUACACGUACAGCAAGUGUUGUUGAAUGUCAGUGGGUGAAAUUUUUAGUGCGUGGAGAAAUUCAGUAGCACACUUGCUGCCAGACUGCCCCUCUGCUGCUAUCUGUCAUAUGGCAGCAAAAUCUAACGGCAUAUUAAUGAGGAGGUUCAACAUCUACUGCCAUACCACCAACAUCCACCUUUGACACGGUACUUUCAGAGCAGGCCUCAUAGCAACAGCUGUGCAGUCUCUUUGCUUACAGCAAGUAAAGCAAAUUAUCAGUACUCCAUACUACAGCAGGUGCAUCCAUAUGUUGGUUGAAAUACUCAGAUGUGACAACUAGUUUUAAGGCAGUAUUUAAAAAGAAAAACAUGUUCCUACUUCAUGGUAUUGCAUAAUGUUCAGCAUGCAGUAGCCUUAGGAGCCAAGGAUCCUUAUAUAAACUCAAAAGUGAAUAAUUUUCAAGGAACACAGACUGGGAGAAGGAGUUUAAAAUAAAAUGUAUGAGAUGAAAGACAAAUAGAAAAUAGUUGGGAUAACUAUUUAACGUUUUUGUCCAAAGCAAUGAUGGAAUGGAUAUCUGAUUUUCAGGACUAUCAAGGACUAGCUAGAUGUCAUAGCCUGCACAUCUGUUAAAGACUUCUGUAAACCAUAAUAAGGCAACUAUGUCCGUAAUAUCCAACCUAUUAAUAUAUGAAGACAAAUUUAAACUAAUAUCAUAGUUUAGUAAAUCAAUUUCAGUGUUACGAAAAUUGUGGGACACAUUUUAUAUAUGAUAUUGUGACUUUCUUUACUUUUUUUUUUUUCUUUCUUGUUUUUCCUUCAUACUUCUGUGAAGGUUACGUAUGAAUUUAAUAUACUCAGAUUUCUGUAUUUUCCUAUGCUCCUUCCUUGUAUAUUCGUAUCCUGGAUACAUAGAAACAGCAAAGGGUCCUUUACUACAGAUUGCAGUGAGGCAAAAAAUGAGAGGAAAAACAAAAGGUAUUUUGUUAUUGUUGUUUUUGUGUUCUUUUGUUGUUGUCAUUUUUUAAGCUUGUCUAAUAGCAAAGCCUAUUCCUUUAAUUUAUGGAGGUUUUCUCAAUACAAAAAUGUUAGCACUGGUAAUUCUAUUUAAAAAACAAACAAACAAACAAAAAACCGACAAACAACAAAUCCCUCCUUCUACGGUUCUUCAAACAUAAAUUUAUCUGAAAGGUGAUUUAAUACGUCUUUUUCCAAAACUUGUGUCACUGCUCACCCAUGUCUUCAUCAGUUUUUUCAUUGUGUAGCUCUGUGUUCUCAAAUGAUAUUUUCCUUAGAUUUCAAAGCACAGCUUCUUCUCUCAGCCUUGAGUUGGUUGAAAUUCAGGGACAUUUCACUCAAGGCUCUUAGGGAAUUUUCAGGCAGCUAAGACCAAAACAGAAUUUGAAUCAUUAGCUCAUUUUUUUUCUGGUAAGUAGAUAUACAUUUGAUUAAGUGUAAAGUGUUCAGCAUCCUGUCUUUCAGUGAGAAAUGCACAGACACACUCCUGAACAUUAGCAUGUUAACACACCUAUGGGAAUCUGAAUUCUCCAUUACCAUUUUUAUCCUUUUAGCUUGCUUUUGCACUUUGCAGUACCACAGAUAUCAUAAGCAAAAUGAUGGAACAGCUGUAGAGCCGAUCUAGGUAAAUACCACAUACACUCUCACUUCUAUUUUAGCAAUAUAAUUAAACAGGAGUUAGAAUUUACAAUGUGUUGACAUUUUAUCAAUUAAAUCAAGGGAGAGAUAGAAGGAAAAAUAAUUUUGGGGAUGUCAGUGAAUUGUGGCUUUUCGUUACUUUUUUUUUUUUUUUAACUCUUUUUAAUGUAAGAAGUUUAGUAGGUGCUUAUUUUCCAUGAUGAUUUCUCAUUUUAUAUUUUGGUUCACUGCUAUACUUUUCCAACUGAUGGUUUGGAAAAGUAAUUACAAUGCAGUGAAUGCACAGUGGGCUCUACAGUUUGGUAAAUUCUCUAGUGGAUCUUAUAAAAAUGUAGAUUUUCAGUUUACUUAGACACGAUUAGGUUGUCUUUCUUCUCUACUCCCUCUAACAGCCAUUAUCUUAAUAGUGAUACGUAAUUCUGUGCAUAAAUGCUGAGACAGUCUCUUGGCAGGAUUUGCAACAGUGAUGACACACGCUCCCCUUGGCCACUGACACCAUGUAGAUGACACAUUUUUUCGCAGGAAAAUAUCUUAAGGAAACUUAUAAUUUGCUAGUCUUCACUGAUUACUAUGGUUGCUAUUGUUUAGUUACAGUUCAGAGGUACACUAAAGCCAAACAGGAGUACAGGUACAUGUUUCUAGGCAAUCCUACUUAUUUUUUUCCUGAGGCAUUUAGACAGUGGGAAAGAAAAUUGGUUAUCUCUUUAGUAGUUUCUGGAAAGAGGAAAAUCUUACCAAUGUAGAGUUGAAAAAACCCCAAACCUGAAACUGUCAAAACAGGAUAAAAUGUAAGAUAUAGCAUAUUCAGAUGACAGAAGGAGGUGUUCCAGCAUGGCAGUAUAGAAACCAUACAAAUAUCUUAUUUGAUACAAUUAUAAGAUAAACUGUAACAGGAAGUAUGCAAGCGUACCUCACUGCUAUAGCAGUUGUUUUGUUAAAAAAAGUGUCCCAGUAUAAUCUCUCCGAGUUUAUUUCUGCAUUUUUUCCACUAUAUAUUGGAAAUGUUAAAUUAAGGGUUGUAAGGCAUUCACAGAGAACAUGCCCAAGGCAACAGGGAUACUUCUAGUGCUUGUACUUUUUUCACUCAGUCAAGUAUUUUUUCACUUGAGAGUAUAGCUAAGACAUUUAUCUAACAAAUCACGCAAACAUUAUUUUUGUCCUGAUUAUAGCUUCAUUAUAUUUUUCCCUACCUUUAUAUUUCUCUCUAAACUUUGACUUUAAAAAUUUCUCUGUCGUCUAAUGUAGUCAAUUCCCAAUUUCCAUCUGAUAGCAAGUGUGAAAUAUUGCUAGUGUUUUCCAAAUGAGGAAUUAAAUAAAGCGCACUGUGGAAGGACUACAGCAGAAGUCCAGAGACAUUAAGCAACCUUAUCAAGUUAGUUUCAUUUCCUAUAAAAUAAAAACUGUAGGUCAAACAGACCUUACUUUAAUCCCUAUAUUAAAACAAUAGAUGCAGUGGAACGCUGGCCUGGCUAGUCAGAGCUGCUACUGCACUGUAGUGAAAGAAAGUAUAUUUCACUCAAUUAUGUCUCUCAUCCUACUCCAUUUUCAUAUCCAGAGAUCUGUCUCUAUCUGGAAAAAAAAGGCUGGCAUAGUCCUUGGGAUCCUUGAUGUAAGCGUGAUUUACAUAAUUGCUUUUCAGUCUGCAAAGGGCAUGGACAAAAUGCUCUAAAGGUUCUGAACUAAUGUGUUCUUUCUCUGAAGUAAGCAGACUCCACCUACAAAACAUUUUCUGGCAGAACUGUUACAUAAAGAAUCAACGUACAUCACAUGCAAUAAUAAACAUGCACAUAUUUGAAAAACAAAAUAUUUAAAAACUAAUCUUUUGCUUUAUUUUUCUCAUGCUAUCCUACCAGAUUUUUGGCAGCAAAAUCACAUAGCAUUUCCUGGUUCAAUGAUUAGCUCUUCCAUUCUCAUUUGAUGGCAUUGGACUGUCCCUGGAUAGUGGAAAAUGGAGGAAUGUGCAUCAUUUUCUGAAGCUAAUGAUUUACAUCCCCAUAUAUGCUCAUGGGGAAGGACUUUGCAAGGCAUAAUCCCAUUUCAGUUCCUCCUUACUCUGCUAAAGCCGGGUUUUCUUUUCUAGUCUCUGAAUUUCCUCUUUCUUUUUUUUUUUUUUUUUUUUCCAGUAUUUCUCUUGAAGCAAAAUCCUGAGUAUUCCUGAAGUUUGUAGUGUUUUACUGCUCUGCAGUGCCUAGCUCCUUCAUUUCUGUUACUGACAGGUCUUGUAAUAGGAACUAUGUUUCUAACAACAUACUGUGUUGAACUCAACCAACUAGAAGGAGAAUUAAGGGAGAGAAUAUUCUUAUUCUCUGAUACAAAGAAAGCAUCUUCAUUUGUGUAUUGCAGGAUAUAUUACAAUAAUUUGUUUUACAUUUCUUCAUUACACAUGCAUGCUCUCUUCAUAAAGGCUACAGUGAUUUAUUCAGGACAAGGUUUUUCGUUUAUGCCAUACUUGGAUUAGUUCUCUAUAUGGCUCUGCACAUGAGGUACCCACAUCCAGGUAAUUCAGACUCAGUCUGCUUUAGUGUGCAGCUGCCAGCCUUGUAAAUGUGAUUUGUGCCAGGAAUGAUUUUGCAGUGCAGUGCUCUGUGCUAACUGCAGCUUUAAAACUGGUGACUGAGGUACGAGCGUUGCCACAUAAUUGUUCAAGUUCUUAUUUUUUUGAGGUUUUUUUUGUUCCAAGUUGGACCAAAGAAAUAUCACUAUCAGCUAUAUCUCAAUGAGGGGUCGCUUGGUUUUCAUUGCAACUAACUUACAUUGUUUCAGAAUUGAGUUUAACAAACACUACUUCAGGAAGAGUAGAUAGGGCAAAAAAGAUAUGGUUGUCAUUUAAAUUAAGCUUAUUCUAGGGAAAUGCAUGAUAGGAUAUCAUUUAUGAAUACUAAACUCAGCUUAAAAUUCAGGUAGGCUUUCUGUUCCCUCUGCUCAAAUAUAUCCCUUAGAUUGCUACAGGAAUCCAUUGUAGAUCUCAGAUCUUUUUGGACAUGGUAUUAAAAACAGGCUUUUCUGAAAAGGGUGGGUUGAUUGUCUCUGAUAGCUUAACAGAUAUUUCUUUUUUUUCUUGUAAGAUAAAAUUAUCUGUACAAUCUAAUCUGUGAUAAAAGACAAUGCCAAAUUCUGCUUAGUCAGAGAACUGCUUGUUCUUCCAGGCACUCUUCCUUAUCUUAGGGGAAAAACAAACAAAACUGUUACUCUUUUUCAGAUUGCAGUUUACUUCUCACUUCUCAGUGGCAUUGAUACUAGCUUGUGGAAAUGUCCAACUGUGAGCUUGUUACACCAUGUGUUUACCAUCCUCCAUUUUUCUCUUAUCCUUAGUCAAAAUAUUGAUUCUGUAGUAGACUUUGUCCUAAGUGAGUGUUCAUCAAACAUGUCUAAUGCUCGAAUAGGUUGCUUACCAGAAUGGAUUGUAAGCAAUUAUUUCAUAAAACACCACUGUGUUAUUCACAAUUUAGAGACCCCAAGAUAUUAUUUCUAUGCUUAAAUUUGAAAAUACUGGAAGCACUUUUUUAUUCAAACAGUAUUUAGUAACAUGACAUUCUUAAAUUUGCAGUGAAAUUUCUGUUAAGAAAUUUUUAUGAUAGAAGGUAUGCCCAAAGGAAAGAAAGGUUUCCUUUCUGAAUCUUGGAUAGUAGAUAGGAAAAACUGAAUAGAUGUAUUUUACAUUCGUUAAAACAAUAAUCAACCAAACAACCAGAAAACAAAACAAAACAAAAAAGAAGAAAAAGCAAGAAAGCAAUUAAGCAAGCAAACAAAAAAUGUCCAAGGAUGUAUUUCCACCAUUUGUAGCUUACCUUUCAAGAACAAAUUGUGAUCUUUUAAAAUCAGACUGUGUAGCAGAUAGUUGAAGUGCUGUUUAAACUGAUGUUGCCUGUACUAUGUUUUAUAGCAUAAAGUGUAAUCCCAUUACAACAGGUAUUUUUAAUUCUUAUCAACUGUUUAUGGGCUGAUUUGGCCCCGGACUAGCGGGACAGAGGGACCCAUGGGUCUGCGCCUCUGGAAAGGGGAAAAUAAAAGGAAAGAGAAAUGGGCCCCAAAAGUAACAGUGGGAAUGGUUUGAGGAGAAACAAACUAACUUACUAAAUAAGAUAUCAGAAUAGAAGAAGAUAACAUACUAUAAUACAAUGUAAUACAAUAUCAUUAGAAUUGGAGCUAAUAAAUCAACUAUAAUGAGAUAGUGUCUGAAAGCCAGAGGCCUUACUUUAAUGCUGAGAUGAGUUGUGCAGUUGGGUUGAGCAGAAGGGAGGAGAACCUGACAACUGAAAGGGGAUUUCAGGUGACCUACCAAGGCCUUUAACUGUUCCCCCUGAGAGGAAAUGAUAACAGAACAGCGAACAGUCCUCUGGGGGAUAUAGUAGUUCUCUUCUGGGACAGGUACCAGGACCUGGAGCAUUAACUCUUUAACUCCCAGUGCAAUACAUGAUGUUAUGAUGUGGAAUACCAUUAGCCCCAAAUCAUAAAACCAUGACACUUCUGUUCCAUAAAAACAUAAUGGAAAAAACAGGAAUUUUGGCAUGUUUGCUUCUACGGAGGAAUUACUUCUAAGACUACUGUUCUGUAGAAUUCAUUUUGUGUCAAACAUGGAGUACAGUUUUAAUCAGGAAGUCAAGAUUUAUAAUGCAGUAGCAAACAUUUUCUUUCAAAAAUGAGUUGACUUUGGAAAAUCUGCUUGACAAAAUCUGUAGUAUAGUAUGUAGAUGGGCAUGUGUUUCAAUACUGAACAGCACCAUGUUCUCAACUCAUUCAAAUUGGAAUCAAACUGGAAAAACGUUAACAUUUGUAGUAAACAGGGAUACAUUGUUUUUGUACACAGCAUCUGUGUUUAUCCAGAUAACCGAGUGAUUUCCAAGCUGUUGUCCCCUGGAGGUUAUCUUUCCAUAUUCCUUUGAGGUUCCAUGAAAUUAAUCUUAUUCUGAAAGAAUGUGUGUGACUAAGGAUAACUGACUUAAAUCCUCAAGGAGACUAUCAGUGAAAAUGUGGCUAACUGUUAACACACAAGUUGUGAAGAUUUCACUAGCAGAAGUGAAGGCUGCCUAAAAUGAAUGAAUUUUUUUUGGUUUUACAUUAUCUAUAUGGUUAACCAUGAGCAAUGUAUAUAUUUUGAAGAAAUUCCAAAUUAAGCCAAUAUUUAUAAAUGUGAGCAUUUCCCUCAAGUUCUUUUUUCUUUAAUCCUCAAUAAUUUAUCAUUACCAACCUCAUCUUAUUCUAUGACCAAAUUAUCUGUCCAGUAGAUGAAGGAAAGGCUGAUAGUCUAGUUUACCUAGACUUUGACAAAACCUUUGACACUGUAUCCCACAGUAUUCUUCUGGGGAAGCUGGCAGCCCAUGGCUUGGACAGGUAAAUUCUUUACAUGGGUAAAGAACUGCCUGGAGGGUUGGGCCCAAGAGUAGUAGUGAAUGGAGAUAAAUCCAUUCACAAGUUGGUGACUUGUUACGAAAGGCACUUCCCCAGGGUUGGUAUUAGAGCCUGUCCUGUGUAAUAUCUUCAUUGAUGGAUAAGGGGAUUGAAUGCACUCUCAGUAAGUUUGCAGAUGACACCAAGCUGGGAGGAAGUGUCAAUCUGCCUGAGUGUAGGAAAGCCCUACAGAAGGUUUUGGAGAGGUAGAAUUGCUGGGCUGAGGUGAAUGGGACAGUGCUGGGUCCUGCAUUUUGAUCACAACAAUCUCAUGCAGUGCUACAAGGCUGGGACAAAGUUGUUGGAAGACUGUGCAGAAGAAAGGGACCUGGGGUGUUGGUUGACACUGAGCUGAACAUGAGUCAGCAGUGUGCUCAGGUGGUAAAGAAGGCUAAUGGCAUCUUGGCUUGUAUCAGAAAUAACAUUGCCUGCAGGAGCAGGGAGGUGAUUGUCCACCUGUACUCAGCUCUGGUCAGGCUACACUCUGAGUACUGAGUAGUGCUCAGUUUUGGGACCCUUAUUACAAGAAAGACAUUUAGGCCCUGGAGUGUGUUCAGAGAAGGGCAAAGAAGCUGCUGAGGGAACUGGGAUUGUUUAGCCUGGAGAAGAGAAGUCUCAGGGGAGACCUUAUUGCCCUCUACAACUACUGGAAGUGAGAUUGUGGUGAGAUGAGAUUUGGCCUCUUUGCACGGGUAACUAGUAUUAGGAGUAGAAGGAAUGGCCUCAAGUUGCUCUGGGGCAGGUUGAGGUUGGAUAUUAGGAAAAGCUUAUUUUCUGAAAGAGUGGUCAGGAAGUGGAAUGGGCUACCUAGAGAGAUGGCAGAGUCACCAUCCCUGGAGGCAUUCAAGAAACAUGUAGAUGUGGUAUUAAGGAACAUGUUUGAGCGGGCAUUAUUGAUGGUAUGUGUACGGUUGGACUGGAAGAUCUUAAAGGUCUUUUCCAAUCUCAGCGAUUCUAUGAUCCUAGAAUUAUAAAACAUGAUAAACCAUAUAUCUCUUUGGUAAUAGAAGAAAUAACUAGAUUGUAUUAUCUAUUGCCGGCAUGGCAAGUCUACAAAAUCUUUCCUAUGGUCUAGAAAGGUGGUGUAUUUUUGUUUGUUUGUUUGUUUUUGCUUUCCAUCUACUGGGGAGAUUUGUUCAACACAGAAGCUCGGAUUCAUUGCACUAGUAUAAAUCACUUAGUAGCCAAAUUAACACGACACUCCUAAAUUUUCUAUAAUUAGCAAAGUGUACCCCAAAGCAGGAUUUCCAAUUUAGAAAUUACCUGUUGCUACUUAAAUGAGGUUUUCUGAACUGAAUAAUAAAAAGUGUGGCUUUUAGCAAUUACUGAUACUGCUUGCUUUGUGCUACUAAUACAGAUGUUGAUCAAUCCAAAGACUGGAGUUAUGAAACGAUUUGGAUGCUACCAUUUACAUACAACGGCCCAUGUACACAGGUUGUGGUUAAAAUAAUGCCUCCUAUUUAUUCUGAUGGAAACCACAACAGAUACAAAGAUAGCAAAUUCUCUAUUAAAUAGCACUAUCCUCUAUUAAAUAUUGCUAUUUAAUAGAGAAAAUUCUCACCUAGAAAACACUGUUUUUCAGCAUAAUCACCACAAUUAGCUAUGCAAUUUUGCCAGCGAUGAACAAGAGCCUGUAUAACUCACUCAUAUAAAUCUAAAUGGAAGUGACCCACAGUUUCGCAGCUGCUGUGAUGGUGUCUUUGCUGAAAUGCAGCAUCCACUGCCUCACUGUGCUCGCAUCCACUGUUUGGUCUCCAUACAUGCUCAGCAAGCAUUGAUCAGUGUCAGUGGGUGCAAAUUUUUCUGCAUGGAGAAAUUCAGUGACACACUUUUGCUUCAUACUUACUUCCAUGUCAGAUGCCAUUCUGUCAGACUGGCCCUCUGCUACCAUCUGUCACAUAGCAAUAAAAUGUAAUAGGAUAUCGGUGAGAAUGUUCAGCCUCUAUAGCCAUGCCACCAACAUCCACCUCUGCCAUCAUAAGCCAACAUAAUUAAAUAGAUGGCAUUGCUUUCAAAGCAGCCCUCGUAGAUCUUAUGCACAACUGAUUCAGUUUGAAUUGCAACCUUUUCUUUAUGUAUUCUGGAAAUGUAUUCUGCAUUCCUGUGUUUGUUUGUUGUUUGUUCAUUUUUUUCCCUUCACUACAGAGGGCUCUUUUUGUUGUGAAGAAUGUCAUGUAAAUUAUUCUUUUACUAUCAUGAUAAGGAAAAUUUUGCAGAUUCCGUUUUGCAUUCACCAUAGCCUACUUUUACUUAGUUAUUCUAAAGAAUAUUACUGUAAAUAAACCAGUAAAGACUAUCCAAGAGACUUAACAUGUACCAAGCUAUAUCUGGAUGUACUAUGUGUUCUUCACUGUGUUUUUCUGAAUUGAUAAUGCAAAAAUAAUAUUUCUGAAAGCUCUGUGGAAUGAAGUUAGGUGAACUUUACUACAGAAGGUAGAACCAUACUAACUGAAGUAAAUGUUUAUAAGUUGCAGAAUCAGGAACAAAAAGCUAGACGAUGCAGGAAUCAGAAGAAAAGUAAGAAAACUAGAGAACAAAACUAAAAUAUAAAUUUAAUGACAU